UAUCGACGCUGCGUCGAUUAUCUGGAAAUAAGGCAUCGUCCCCUUGCCAUUACCAGAUGCAACAGCCUCCAUCCCCCUCUCAAGGCUGUUGCGCAGUAGCAGUGAUAAGGUCGCUGUGGUUCCCCUCUCCACAGCGGCCUAAUUUU
rnacentral:sRNA from 1 species